rnacentral:SRP_RNA from 1 species
UCGCACUAGUCGGGGAGUUAGCGGUGCCCUGUACCUGCAAUCCGCUACAGCAGGGAGGAAUUCCCACACCCGGGCUUAUCAAAAUAUCGCAGUACUGUGCAAGCGGCGUUGAUGGAAGGGUCUUGCGCAACGGGAAACCGUGAACCAUGUCAGGUGGGGAACCAAGCAGCAUUAAGCGGAGCUUUCCGUGUGCCGCGGGGUUGCUGUUCCGGAGCUUACCUUGCACGGCAACGGGUGUUUUGAGGGCACAAAUGUGGGUGUGCGA